ensembl:lncRNA
CACGGUCACCUUUUGUGUCCAACUCUGCUCUGAGGUCAGGCAGACCAGAUGACAGCUCCCUACAUCAGCGCUGGCACAUGGUCAGGAUCAGUCUGCUUUAGUGGCGUGCUCUUUGGGUCAUAUUACAGCACACCAUAAUUUUGCAGUAACCACUGUUAAGGAGUACCAUGCUACUUACCUCUACAGGCAGCAAUGCAGAGCUCUGGCACAUCGUGGCUUUUGAAAAAAGUGGAUAUUCAUGAAGUGUUUGAGAAGAACCAUAAAUCCAUGCUUCAUGAAGAAUCUCUUACGGGGGCUCUCUCAUGUUAUGAGACAGACAAGGACAAAGCCGGACCACUGGCUGUUUUGAAGCCAUGUGUGUACUGUGACAGGCUGUACAACAGGUGGUUACUCAUGCCACAUUUUGAUGCUGACAUCAGCAAGCUGUCAAAGCUAUCAAGGGCACUGGAACUGAUUGAUAACAGCAGAACCUCAUUUCUAUACCAGAAUGUCUCUGCUUUACUGUCUACAGCAGGAGGAAAAGAAUCAGCACCACUACCUCACUGGCCACCCUGAUGGGGAAGACUCAUCUGUGAGUAAAACACAGGAAAAGAUUGUCUAGAGAGGCGGUGGAGUCCUCACCUGUCGAUAUCGACUGGUCCUGGGCAACCUGCUCUGGAAGUUCCUGCUUCAGCAAGGGAUGGACCAAUCUCUAAAGGCCCCGACCAACUUCAGUAAUUAUGUAAUUCUGUAGAAAGUUGGAACCUCAUUCAAAUGAGGAAAGUACAAGUGAAUACUACAGCAAGUAUAUACAGAAGCAGAAUAAUAUGAAACAUUAAAAAUCUGACAGGAGGGAGUAGGAAGAUGGAGCCAGACUCUUGUCAUCAUUGCCUAAUGACAGGACAAGUGGCAAUAGACAUGAUUUAUAAUAGAAGCUUCCCCACUUCAUGAUUCUGUUUUAAAAAUAUCCUAAGAUAUCAGCUCAUAUCUUGGUGGUCACCAGUGAAAUAAACUGACCAUUAGAAAAUAUGAGAAAAUAUUGAUAGAAUAAAACAAAAACCAUUCCUCACUGACAUUCAUAUUUUGUGUACUUUGUACACUUCUAGUCUUCUCAUCUGAAAAACAAGAUAUAGUAGGCAAGUGACUGUACAGCAAAGUGAAAAUAGGAUAACUAAAAUUGCAAUGAUACCCACAUGAGGAGUGAUUAGGUACAUCAGGAUUUCGCUCGCUAUUAAAAAACCCCCACAAAACUAUCAGAGGAUAUGAUAGAAAUCUAUAAAAUCAUGCAUGGUGUGGACUAAGCUGAUAUAUAGUUGCUCGUUUUCUAUUCUGAGAAGAGAAAUCAAAUGAAAGUAGCAGGUGUAGAGUACUAUUAUGUGUAUUAUGUGCUAUUAUGGUUUCAAUACAUAUGGAUGAGAAAUUCAUUUCUGUGAAGAAAAAUACAAUUAUUAUUGAAGAGAACUGUAGGUAUUAUAGAGGAAGAUACUAUCACUAUAGGCUUAGAAAGUCCUGGGUCACAAACUGCUGAAGGAUGCACUAACAUUCUGGGGAAGUACCAUUACAUGGUCUUGCUGAGGACACUACCAUUCCUGGUGACAGAUGGGCUUUGGUUGGAGCCAGUAAAACUGGUUGCCCCCAUUUGAAUUCACCUAUCUGUGUGCAUUUCUUCCAGUGACUGUGACAGCUUUAAUACAGAUCGUUGUUUGACUUACUUGGCAGUCACUCCCUUGAUGCUGUAGCUCUGCUCUUUGCCCACCAGGUCCUCAGAUUUUUCAUGAUUGCUUCAUACAGUGUUGUGCAAAGAGUGAGAUACUGAUGACAGUGGUUACUUAAUCCACCCAGAGACAUUCUGACAGCUAAUCCCAUCAGCACAUAAAACCAAAGGCUAGAUGAGAAAGUAAGCAGGCACUGAGAGGAUCAACAGAUGUGAGUCCCCAGCUCUGGCUGCUGUUGGAGAUGAGGGGAGAGAUAAAUAUCAUGCAGCUGCUUCAUAAAAAUAAGCUGGAUUCUUCCGAAAAGGAGUCGCCAACCACAGUAAUCUCAUUUACAUUGUGGUCUCCAGAGAAGUCCUUCUCAGAGUUCUGAGACUUAUGCAGUACUUUUACUCCUUGCUGCUAUCUGCUGAAUAUGAAAUCAUAAGGAUGUGUCACUAUGUUUAAGGAUGUCAUGCAGAAAAGGAACUUCCCUGAAUCUGACACGUGAUGACAGUUACUCUUACCAACUUUGCAAAUUACUGCAUGAAGAAGAGAAAAAGAUUGAGCAUGUGUACACAUGUUGUUUCUGCUAGGAGUCACUGAUGAGCUUAGUAAUCAGGCUUGUUCCAUUGUGAAUCAUAACUGCUGACUCACUGUCAGGACAAUAUAUACUUUGGGUCAGCCACACAAUCUGGAAAUGGGAUAGAAGAAUGUGUCUUUGCAACAGGAGACCGGUAGAUUGCUGUCAGCAUCUUUCUGAACUGGCUGAGCUUCUCCACUUCUGCUGGACAUCGUGCCGAGUUGGCACAACUGAGAAAAUCCUUAAAAGUACCUAUGAAUUAAGGACUUUGGGAUCUAAAGACGUCCAUCAGUGUACCUAAAAAGCCUAAACAGAACCUGUAAAUUUCAAAGCGUUUUAACUUGUGACAGUAUUGGUGAUUAAAGAGAUAAGAGGAAAGCCAUGCGGCUAAGUAGCCACUCUUGGAUCGUGAAAUUCACAGCUCAUGUAAAACCAGACAGUGCUGACAGGGAAAACACAAACCACUGGCUCCCUUUUGAAAUCAGUCCUUGAUCUUUCUGCCAUCUUCUGUGGUAAACACAAUUAAAUUAUCUCCAUGUUUAAGCUACAGAAGCUAAGGCAGAUAGUUCAAGUGAUCUGACCAAAGCCUCUUAGGCACAGAAUUCACAGAUUGAGGCCUUGUUUAUUCCAGGUUGUCUCUCAUGUUACUGACUCAUGUAUGACACACUCGUCUUUGUCGCUAAGGGUAUACUACAGCAGGAAUGAGCUGGAUGGAUGUCCUUCUAGCCCUCGCUUGCCCUCAGUGGCAGUCCAGGGGAACACAGCUGUGCAAAGGUGCCAGGGUCCCCUGAGGACACACAAAAUUCAACGUCCCUGUCAUUACAGAUCUCAGCACUAAGGAAGGGGCUGUAAGUAACUGCCCAUCUUUUGAGAGAGGCAAUCACAAUUAGUCUCAAUGACCUGUUUUCCUGGUCAAUGAAAUGGCUGAAAACAAAAGGACUACAAUCUCUCUUUUCCUUAAAUUGAGAAUUAAUUGAGACAAGGUGCUUUGGGUUCUCCACUGAGUUGCAAUUUUAUACCAGUGGGAUCUGGACGUUCCAAGACUUGGGGAGCACAACUGCGACAAAAACUGUCCCAAAUGCUUAAUAUAUUGGACAGGUAAUUUCAAUACUGAAAUUACAGGAGAUAUCUUUGUCAAGAUGUUUUCCUUUCUUUGUCACAUCCCUGAAGUAAUCAAAACCUUAGGAGCACUGAUCUCGUACUCUCGCUGCAGCUGAGAUGGAGCUUACACUUUUCUGUUUCUCUGAGUCCUGGAUCUGGUCAGGAACUGGGCAGCUUUUAUGAAAGACUAUAAAAGCAUGGAGAGAAGUACUCUGAAGUACAAAUUUCAUCUUUCUUUCACUAUACACCUCCAUAUGUGGGAGGAGCUGACUUGGAACCAGUUAUGCUAGUUUUCUACCAUUUCUCUUAGUAGUUUAUGAGGAAUGAGGCGUGUAAGUAUAAUAAUUUAUAGAUAUUAUAUACAGACAAGUUAAUCUGUUUGGUACUAUUCUGAUAGAAACUAGAAGAGAUCACUGAAAGAAAUCAAGAAUAAAGGGAAUAGGAGAUAAAAAUGCAGUCGAAAGCUCUCCAUUGUUCUUCUAGGAAGAAUAAUAAUCAGGCAAGGCUAAUGAUGCUGUUGUGGCUUGGCCCUCCAAAAUCUGAGGCCAGGAUCAAAAGGGAUCAUAAAAGACAAUCAGGUGAAAAUUUCCACAACUAUUAAAGAAAAGAUUUGGGUUAGUUGUCAUAACCAAGGACUCCUGACAAGUCCUGAAAAGCAUGCAGGAAAUCAGACAGACAGACAUGAAUUACAGCAGGCUAGAUGUCUCUCCCAAAUCAGAGACAGCUUCACUGGAAAUAUCCUACACGAGCUUCAUGGCAAAAUAAGUUGAUAUUUAGUUCUAAUGGUUGUAUGUACCUUAGUGAAUAAUACUUCACUUUGAAGGAACUAUGUCUGAAAUGCUUUAAUCAUCCAUUAUCGCUGGCUUCUGGAGUACAGCUGGUACACGCAUAACAUGGCCUGGCUUUUUGGAGUUAAAACAGGUGUCACAGACUGCAAACAGGUCAACUGCCGCAGACAGAUUUGAUGUCAGAUGACUACACGGCUCAGUCUGUACAGGGACAACACAAAGAAACACCAGUUCUUAAGGGUCUUGCUGAGGAAGGUCUAAAGCAUCACUUCCAUACACACGAACAAGACAUCUCAUGCAGGGCAAGUUUUGCCUGCUUUCAUGUGACUGUUUAUCAUUAAGGUGAAGGAUCUGCAUGCCAUACUGAAAAAU